AGUGAACGCUGGCGGCAGGCCUAACACAUGCAAGUCGAACGAGAAGGCGUAGCAAUACGCUUGUACAGUGGCGAACGGGUGAGUAAUACGUGGGCGACCUACCCUCGAGUGGGGAAUAACCCGCCGAAAGGCGGGCUAAUGCCGCGUACGCUUCCAUCUUUAUGGAGGUGGAAGGAAAGCCGUGCCGUGGGCACGGCGCUCAAGGAUGGGCUCACGUCCUAUCAGCUUGUUGGAGGGUAACGGCCUACCAAGGCUCCGACGGGUAGCUGGUCUGAGAGGACGAUCAGCCACACUGGCACUGCGACACGGGCCAGACUCCUACGGGAGGCAGCAGUGAGGAAUAUUGCGCAAUGGGCGAAAGCCUGACGCAGCGACGCCGCGUGGGGGAUGAAGGUCUUCGGAUUGUAAACCCCUUUCGGGAGGGAAGAUGGGACGGGCAACCGUUCGGACGGUACCUCCAGAAGCAGCCACGGCUAACUUCGUGCCAGCCGCCGCCGUAAC
rnacentral:rRNA from 1 species